ACUCAAAGGAAUUGACGGGGGCCCGCACAAGCAGUGGAGCAUGUGGUUUAAUUCGAUGCAACGCGAAGAACCUUACCUGGGCUCGAAAUGUAGAGGACAGUAUCAGAGAUGAUACUUCCCGAAAGGGUCUCUAUAUAGGUGCUGCAUGGCUGUCGUCAGCUCGUGCCGUGAGGUGUUUGGUUAAGUCCAGCAACGAGCGCAACCCUUAUCGUUAGUUGCCAGCGCGUAAAGGCGGGAACUCUAACGAGACUGCCUGGGUUAACCAGGAGGAAGGUGAGGAUGACGUCAAGUCCGCAUGGCCUUUAUGUCCAGGGCUACACACGUGCUACAAUGGUCGGUACAGAAGGCAGCAAGACCGCAAGGUGGAGCAAAUCCUAAAAACCGAUCUCAGUUCAGAUUGUAGACUGCAACUCGUCUACAUGAAGUUGGAAUUGCUAGUAAUGGCGUGUCAGCAACAACGCCGUGAAUACGUUCCCGGGCCUUGUACACACCGCCCGU
rnacentral:rRNA from 1 species